GACGAACGCUGGCGGCGUGCCUAAUACAUGCAAGUCGAGCGAAGCGGCUGAUGGGUUAGCAACGCGUGGGUAACCUGCCCUUAAGUCUGGGAUACCUUUUGGAAACAGCUGCUAAUACCGGAUACUAAUGGAUGGAUCUGCGAUGCAUUAGCUAGGUGGUAAGGUAACGGCUUACCAAGGCGAUGAUGCAUAGCGGGGUGGAGAGAAUGAUCGGCCACAUUGGGACUGAGACACGGCCCAAACUCCUACGGGAGGCAGCAGUGGGGAAUAUUCCACAAUGGACGAAAGUCUGAUGCAGCAACGCCGCGUGAGUGAAGAAGGUUUUCGGAUCGUAAAGCUCUGUUGUUGGGGAAGCGGUAAUCAAAGAGAAAGUCACGGCUAACUACGUGCCAGCAGCCGCGGUAAUUC
rnacentral:rRNA from 1 species